GACAGAGGCCCCGAGCGUUAGUCGGAAUUACUGGGCUUAAAGGGUGCGUAGGCGGGCGUGUAAGUGUCUCGUGAAAGCCCCGGGCUCAACCCGGGAACCGCGGGGCAUACUGCACGUCUUGAGGAAACUAGAGGCCGGCAGAACGAUCGGUGGAGCGGUGGAAUGCGUAGAGAUCGAUCGGAAUGCCAAGGGUGAAGACAGCCGGCUGGGGUUUUCCUGACGCUGAGGCACGAAAGCGUGGGGAUCAAACAGG
rnacentral:rRNA from 1 species